GUGUCUGGAUGAAUGCAUUGGCAUUUCUAGACAGUAACCUAUACAUCUGCUUUCCCGGGGGGAGGGGAUGAGCAAGGGAGCCAGAAGACGAGGUGUUUAGGUUGUAAAAAUAGAACCAGUGUGAGAGACUGAAGAAAGCCAUGCUAGCAAUGACUGGGCUCAGUCACUUAUGCAGCUCUGCCACAUUCCUCAGAACAAACAGCUAUUAAAAUCUGAGCACACAAAGCCUGUAGCAGGCUUAGUAAUGACAAGCACUGUCAGCACACUAUAAUUAACAUAGGGUGGUAUAAUUUAUAAGGAAUGCACUAUACAGUUUAACGCCAACACAGAGGGGGAAUAUCUGUUGUUAGCCUGCAGAAUCAAAAGUAGCCUUAUCCCUUGAUGCCAGCAUUUUUCUUUACAAAUACUCUUUAAUUUAUAUAUAUUUUUUAACUCAUAAAAGCCUUUGUCACAGAGUUAGUUCUGUGCAAGGCAAGAGUGAGGCUUGUAGGUGACCCGUAACCUCCCCUCCCCCUCCCAUAUUAAUCAAGAAGGAAAGUCUCAGCACACUGUCUUUACUGUACAUAAUUAAGCGGUUCUGAAUGCUCAGUGAAACUCAAAUGGGAUGGCACAGAGCCUGGUAAUAUGACAGUUAAUGGGAUGAGACUAGCACUUAUUCUGCCUCUAUAAUAAGCAAAGGCUUUUUGCUUUCCAACUGAGGACAGGAAGAGAAGGAAGCAGUCACAAAAGAUAACACCAAUGACAACAUGGGGUUGUUGGGCACCUCUCUGUACCUCUUAUGAUUGUUUCCAAAAAGAAAAACACACCCUAACUGGAGGAGAUUACCUCUUAAUUACCCUUGUUCAGUGGCUGUAAUAAGCAGAGGCUUUUACUUCUGCAUAGCCACGGAUUGGUUUGAGAAGCAUUUCCAGCAAAUAGCUCUAAUGGGAAGGUUUGUGUCUCUUUACUCUUCUUUCACCUCCUGCAAACUUUUAAGCUGGCUGAAAUAUUGCCUUCAUCCUCCUUCCCCAAUGAGGAGGACGUUUAAUGAAAUGAUGCUUUAUUUUGCUUUUAGAAGAUGGCCAACGUAAGUAUUUAUCAUAAAGGACCGUUUGCUGCAUCUGUGGCUUUCUUCCACUGACCUGCAAACACAAAAAUAGCAUCUCUUUCCUUCUCUUAAGAAAGAAACUGGGUAAAAUUACCUUUGAGGCAAGGAAAUGCAGUGAUAGAAAUUAACAAUUAUUUUUAGCCACAUAAUGUUGGUAUCACAAAUUAAAAAUGCUUGUUGGCUUUGUCCAUUGAACAACUUGGAGAAAAAAAUUAUCUGUGCUGUAUAAGCCGUGAGAAUAACAGGCGUAAUGCAGUCAUUAAAUAAUCCUGCAGAGGAGAAAACAUAUCAAACAUUCAUCUGGGAGGCAACUGAGCAGCACCGUGAAUCUGUACUCUUUGUGUUAUGAGACAUCCGUGGGAAGCAGAAACCUAAAGGAAAAAAGAGACCGGCCCUAUAAUUCAAGAACAAGUCUCAGUGACUACUCAGAAUCCCUUAGCAUGUAAUUGUCUAUAGAGAGAUACUGAAAAGUGAACUCUUAUUAUUAUGGUUUCCAGGGAGGAAGGGGAGGCGGUGACCUGAUAGACUUGACUUUACAGAAAGCUGAGAUUUGGAAUUUGGGUUUCUAUUUUAGGCUCUGCUUCUGACCUUCCGUGCUUCCUUAGAAAGUGCUUUGAUUUCCUCAAGAAUAAACCAGAAAAAUCUCUUUCUGUGCUGUGAGGCUUUCAAAUGCAAGGGAGUCAUCAGAGGCCUGAUCAGCAUCCAACAUUCUAUUUCUUUUGGGGAUUGUGUUCUAAGAUUAGAGAUAGCAUUUGGCUCCUGAGAGUGUUUUCCCUGGGCUUAGUUGGGAAUGCAGGUGUUUUGCUUGAGAAAUUGGGGCUGGAAACAGUGAGAAACCCUCUGUUUUUGAAAGGUAACAAUUUGGAGAACUGAAAACCUUCACUUCCUUUCCAUAAGGAUGAACAGAAGUCCUUUCAUUCACAUCCAUCAUAUUUUAUUUCGGAUUCAGAAACCUUUUAAUUUCAGCAGAAAUCUCAGCAUAUGUUAUCUUGCUCCAAAACAGCAAACGAUGGCUUAAAAUAUAUUCAUGCAUUUGAAGUGCUCACUCUCAAAACAAUAUAUAUAUAUAUAUGUAUAUUUCUACUCAUAUGGCACAUAUUUCAGCAAUUUUGUAGAGUUUUUUUUCUCUUUCUUCUUCCUCUUGCUUUAAACUAUGCAAGCACGAAGCAAAUAUAAAGAGAAUUCAAGAGCAUUUUGUAAUUCUUGAAAGGUUAAUUGCACUAUUUAUAGACCAAACUGUAAAGCAAAAACCCUCAGCGUGACCCUUCAGGGUCACCGUAGUAAUAGCAACCUCAGUGGAGACCUGACCAGUCAUGAAUUACUGUCUGUGAUACUGAGAAUGCUGACAGUUCAAUCACAGCACUGUUUCAAUAGAGAACUCCAUAUAUUUAAAGCGCUGAUACUGUUUUCCCUCUAAAUGACAGGCUUGACAGAUGGGCCAAAAGCACCGCAGACGUUUGAACAAGGAAAUAGAGAGGGAGCCUGCUGGAAGCUGGGCCUCAUGCAGCCAGGCGAGAAUGAUGAAUAGAGUGUGAUUGUGUCUGACAGGAUCCUGUGACAGCCAAGGAAGGUUACAGUGCUGCCGUUGCUGUGCUAUUUGGAGGGUCCCUUUGGGAGCUGAGAGGCUGGUCACUUUUGUCUUUUCACAUUCCAUUUUCUCUUUUUGUCUUUGAGGCUGAUUUGGCUGGUAUGAAGAUGGCUCCGACAGCAGGCUCACUGCCUAUGUAAAAGCCCCAUGUACCCAACCUCACAAUUUCAGAUUUGCCUUGCUUAUGGAAAACACAUUGUAAAUAGGUGUAGUUCUUUUUUCCCAGCUUACUGCGGUGGGAGACCAUGGGUUAACACUUACGAAAAGAUUUUGCAUGUGACCUCUCUGAUUAGCUAUGGAAAACAAAAUCCAAUUAAAGCAGCACCCCCUCCCCCAUAUAAACCCUACCAAUCUUGCACCUUCCCUUAGCACUCCUUCACACCGUUCUUUUCCUGCUGGUAUUGCUCAGCUAUUUUAAAUAUUGUUGGUUAUUGACUGAAUUACAGAUAUUUCUAUAUCUUUAUCUGUAUCUAUAAAUCUUCAUAUAUUUUAUCUGGCUCAUCCUAUGAAAGAAUAUUUAAUAGCUGUUAUCUCUAUUCUGGCCCCAAAAGAAUGUGUUCUUGAGAAUUGGACAAAUGUGCAAAAUCCUAUGAGACACACCAAAUAAGAGUACAUAAUAAAACCUCUCCUUUUUUUUCAGUCUUGGUGAGAUUUCCCCAUAUUAGUCUUCUUUGUGGAUAUCAAGUGCAGAUACUUUUUGUAGACAUACAACCAAAUGUUUCUCAUUGCCUCUCCACCUUCUUUUUAAAAUAAACUCACUUUACUUGUUGAAUUGAGCACAGUCAUUGUGUGGCCUUGUAUCUAAUGCAUAUCCUUUUUCCUUCCAGUUGAGAGCCUGCACAAUACUUAGUGCUGCCAAUAAGGGGAAAGUGACUGUUU
rnacentral:lncRNA from 10 species